AUUGAACGCUGGCGGCAUGCUUUACACAUGCAAGUCGAACGGCAGCACGGGUGCUUGCACCUGGUGGCGAGUGGCGGACGGGUGAGUAAUGCAUCGGAACGUGUCCUGAAGUGGGGGAUAACGCAUCGAAAGAUGUGCUAAUACCGCAUAUUCUCUGAGGAGGAAAGUAGGGGAUCGAAAGACCUUAUGCUUUUGGAGCGGCCGAUGUCUGAUUAGCUAGUUGGUAGGGUAAUGGCUUACCAAGGCGACGAUCAGUAGUUGGUCUGAGAGGACGACCAGCCACACUGGGACUGAGACACGGCCCAGACUCCUACGGGAGGCAGCAGUGGGGAAUUUUGGACAAUGGGCGCAAGCCUGAUCCAGCAAUGCCGCGUGAGUGAAGAAGGCCU
rnacentral:rRNA from 1 species